UAUAUGACAAUGCUUUUAAAACUAGCUAAUUGUUUUUAAGUUCAAACAUUAUAGUUGUGGAAUUAUAAUAGUAUAGAGUAGAAUGGAAUAGGACUAUAUCUUGAACAAGAAAGAGGGCCUUGCUUGCUAUUUGCUGAGAUCCGCAUAAAAGAUGGGGACCAGGUGAAGAAUGAAGAAGUGAGCUACCUAAAGAACAAGGUGUACGUACGGCUUUGCACACUUUAUGAGUUUUGCAUUGUCUAAUUUUACAGUAAUAGUCAAUAAAAUCCGUUUAUAUAACAUGACAGCAAGACAAGUACCCUUGUGUUGUAUGUAUUGUACCCUAUGUCGUUCAUAUUCAUACUUUUUUUAAGAUGCGAGAGCUGUCGAAAUUAUAAUUUGUCAAAUGAAAAAUGUUUAGUUGUUUCUCUUUGAAA